rnacentral:tRNA from 1 species
GGAAGGGUGGCCGAGCGGUUUAAGGCAACAGUCUUGAAAACUGUCAGCCGCGAAAGCGGCUCGCGAGUUCGAAUCUCGCCCCUUCCG